rnacentral:tRNA from 1 species
AGUUUCUGUAGUUGAGGUUUACAACGGCGGCUUUUCAGGCCGCAGUCCUUGGAGAAAGGCCAAGCAGAAACUGC